CCUACGGGGUGCUGUAGUCGAGAAUCAUUCACAAUGGGGGAAACCCUGAUGGUGCGACGCCGCGUGGGGGAAUGAAGGUCUUCGGAUUGUAAACCACUGUCAUGUGGGAGCAAAUUAAAAAGAUAGUACCACAAGAGGAAGAGACGGCUAACUCUGUGCCAGCAGCCGCGGUAAUAAAGAGGUCUCAAGCGUUGUUCGGAAUCACUGGGCGUAAGGCGUGCGUAGGCUGUUUCGUAAGUCGGGUGUGAAAGGCGCGGGCUCAACCCGCGGACGGCACAUGAUACUGCGAGACUAGAGUAAUGGAGGGGGAACCGGAAUUCUCGGUGUAGCAGUGAAAUGCGUAGAUAUCGAGAGGAACACUCGUGGCGAAGGCGGGUUCCUGGACAUUAACUGACGCUGAGGCACGAAGGCCAGGGGAGCGAAAGGGAUUAGAUACCCCAGUAGUC
rnacentral:rRNA from 1 species